AGUUAAGCUACUAAGGGCGUACGGUGGAUGCCUUGGCGUCAAGCGCCGAUGAAGGCCGUGGAUCACUGCGAUAAGCCUCGGGGAGCCGUGAACAGGCGUUAUAUCCGGGGAUGGCCGAAUGGGGAAACCCGCGCAGUUAAUUGCUGCGCAUCUGCAAAUGAAUCCAUAGUUUGCAGAAGGGAACCUGGGGAACUGAAACAUCUAAGUACCCAGAGGAAAGGAGAUCAUUCCGCAAGUAGUGGCGAGCGAACGCGGAACAGCUCAAACCGUUGAGGCUUGCUUCAACGGGGUUGUAGGACCCAGCAUAUGGGAGUCAUAAAUCAGAUGGUUAGUCGAAUGUCCUGGAAAGUUCAACCACAGAAGGUGACAGUCCUGUAGACAAAAACGAUCUGACUCUCGCUGGGCACCUGAGUACUACCGGGCACGCUAAUCCGGUAGGAAUCCGGGAAGCCCACUUCCCAAAGCUAAAUACGCUUGACGACCGAUAGUGAACAAGUACCGUGAGGGAAAGGUGAAAAGUACGGCUGCUAGCCGAGUGAAAUAGAACCUGAAACCGUAUGCUUACAAUCAGUCCGAGGACUAUGGCCCUUCGGGGCAAUGUCUGAGGGCGUGCCUUUUGGAGAAUGAGCCGGCGAGUUCAUCUUUGUGGCAAGCCUAAGCGAGUGUGACACGCGGAGGCGCAGCGAAAGCGAGUCUGAAUAGGGCGAUCAGUCGCAGGGAUGAGACACGAAACCUGGUGAGCUACCCAUGGCCAGGGUGAAGCGGGACUAAACCCCCGUGGAGGCCCGAACUCACUAAUCUUGCGAAAUUAGGAGAUGAGCUGUGGGUAGGGGUGAUAUGCCAACCGAACCAGGAGAUAGCUUGUUCUCUCCGAAAUAGCUUUAGGGCUAGCGUCACAUGUUUAGCAACGGAGGUAGAGCACUGGAUUGGCUAGGGGGCUUACUGCUUACCAAACCAAACCAAACUCCGAAUGCCGUUGCUCCAGAGUGUGGCAGUCGGACUACGGGUUAUGAGAUUCGUGGUCGAAAGGGAAAGAACCCAGACCAUCGGCUAAGGUCCCUAAAUUCAUGCUAAGUGGAAAACGAUGUGAGACUGUUUAGACAGCCAGGAGGUUGGCUUAGAAGCAGCCAUCCUUUAAAGAGUGCGUAAUAGCUCACUGGUCAAACGGUCUUGCGCGGACAACUUAACGGGGCUAAGCAUGAUACCGAAGCCAUGGACUUCGCCGUCAGGCGGAGUAGUAGGAGAGCGUUCCGGGAGCGAUGAAGUCAGAUCGAAAGAACUGGUGGAGCGACCGGAAGUGAGAAUGCCGGCUUGAGUAGCGUAAAACACGUGAGAACCGUGUUCACCGUAAGUCUAAGGUUUCCGACGGAAGGUCAGUCCGCGUCGGGUUAGUCGGCCCUAAGCCGAGGCCGCAAGGCGUAGGCGAUGGACAUCCGGUCAACAUUCCGGAACCGCCGAGCAUGAGCGAAGGAGUGACGCAGAAUGGUAGGCCAGCCUCCCCACUGGACAUGGGAGGUGCGAAAUCGUAGGCGUUGAGACUCGUAGGCAAAUCCGCGAGUUGAGCCGAGGAAAGAGCGUGGCGCAAGCCUGAAGUGGUUGAGCCAAGCUGCCGAGAAAAGCUUCGUAGCGUUGAGUGCUAGGCGUCCGUACCGCAAACCGACACUGGUAGACGGGUAGAAUAUACCAAGGUGAACGGGAGAACUCUCUCUAAGGAAUUAGGCAACAUGGCCCCGUAACUUCGGGAGAAGGGGCGCCUACUGGCGUGAAGCUGAUCAUGUGGAGCGCCGGUGGGUCGCAGUGAAAUGGCUCUAGUGACUGGUUAACAAAACCACAGGUCUCUGCAAAGCCGUAAGGCGAUGUAUAGGGGCUGACACCUGCCCAGUGCCGGAAGGUUAAGGGGAGUGGUUAGCGCAAGCGAAGCUACGAACCGAAGCCCCGGUGAACGGCGGCCGUAACUAUAACGGUCCUAAGGUAGCGAAAUUCCUAGUCGGGCAAGUUCCGACCCGCACGAACGGUGUAACAACUGGAGCACUGUCUCAGAGAGAGACCCGGCGAAAUAGAAGUGGCAGUGAAGAUGCUGCCUACCCGCAGCAGGACAAAAAGACCCCGUGGAGCUUUACUAUACCCUGGCAUUGCGUUAGGACUUGAUUUGCGUAGGAUAGGUGGGAGGCUUUGAAUCUGGGAUUCCGGUCUCGGAGGAGCCAACGGUGAAAUACCACCCUGAUUAAGUUUUGACUCUAACCUCAGACCCUGAUCGGGCUGGGGGACCGUGCCAGGCGGGUAGUUUGACUGGGGCGGUCACCUCCAAAAGAGUAACGGAGGUGCCCAAAGGUUCCCUCAGGUUGAAUGGAAACCAACCGCAGAGUGUAAAGGCACAAGGGAGCUUGACUGCAAGACCAACGCGUCGAGCAGAGACGAAAGUCGGGCUUAGUGAUCCCACGGUACCGAGUGGAAGGGCCGUGGCUCAUCGGAUAAAAGCUACCCCGGGGAUAACAGGCUGGUGACGUCCAAGAGUCCACAUCGACGACGUCGCUCGGCACCUCGAUGUCGGCUCAUCGCAUCCUGGGGCUGGACAAGGUCCCAAGGGUUGGGCUGUUCGCCCAUUAAAGCGGUACGUGAGCUGGGUUCAGACCGUCGUGAGACAGGUCGGUCUCUAUCCGCUGUGGGCGUAGGGGAUUUGAAGGGAUCUGCUCCUAGUACGAGAGGACCGGAGUGGACAGACCUCUGGUGUGUCAGUUGUCAUGCCAAUGGCACCGCUGAGUAGCUACGUCUGGCAGAGAUAACCGCUGAAUGCAUCUAAGUGGGAAACUCGCCCUAAGAUUAGAUCCCCCGUGGCAUAAGCCAGAAAGACCGCAGGAAGACCACCUGCUACUAUAGGCGACCUCGUGUAUGCUCUGUAAGGAGCGAGCGAAGGCGUACUAAUGGUCGAGGGCUUAAUUC
rnacentral:rRNA from 1 species